GAUGAACGCUGGCGGCGUGCCUAAUACAUGCAAGUCGAGCGAACAGAUAAGGAGCUUGCUCCUCUGAAGUUAGCGGCGGACGGGUGAGUAACACGUGGGUAACCUACCUAUAAGACUGGGAUAACUUCGGGAAACCGGAGCUAAUACCGGAUAACAUUUAGAACCGCAUGGUUCUAAAGUGAAAGAUGGUUUUGCUAUCACUUAUAGAUGGACCCGCGCCGCAUUAGCUAGUUGGUAAGGUAACGGCUUACCAAGGCGACGAUACGUAGCCGACCUGAGAGGGUGAUCGGCCACACUGGAACUGAGACACGGUCCAGACUCCUACGGGAGGCAGCAGUAGGGAAUCUUCCGCAAUGGGCGAAAGCCUGACGGAGCAACGCCGCGUGAGUGAUGAAGGGUUUCGGCUCGUAAAACUCUGUUAUUAGGGAAGAACAAAUGUGUAAGUAACUGUGCACAUCUUGACGGUACCUAAUCAGAAAGCCACGGCUAACUACGUG
rnacentral:rRNA from 1 species